CUCAAAGCAUUGUCCCGUCUCUUCAUCGUCUUCCUCACCCCCAUAUUCUCCUCCAUCUGAUACACCAGCCACCGCCUUAGGAAAGUACAAAGGACAUAGCCGCCGCCAUGGGUAAGUAGGAGGUGUCAACAGCCUUGGAAAUCAAGUUUCAGAUUGGUGAUUCCCCAAAGCUAUGAAGCUAGAGCUGGAACCCUAGAAUCAGGAGCUGGAACUCUAGAAAUCUGGAGGUGGCAAGUCUAGUACCUAUAUGGUUCCUUGAGUUGCUAGAUACAUAGAUAAACAAGGGAGAGAGAGAAAAAGAGGGUUUUGGUAUCUUAGAAGUGGAGGAGUAAAAAGUCAGGAACUUGUUUUCAUCCGGAUACUUAACGUGAAAAUCAAUCGAGGAUGGAUAGAGUCUACUCAUCCGAUAGCCUUGGACCCUUUGAAGCCACCAGAAAUGAGGUUCAACCGUUAAAUCCCGACACCUAUGAACUACAAUUGGAUUUUCGUGCCGAAAGACUCGUGAGACAACUGAUUAGAAAGACCAUAUUUUUCAGAUCUACAUACUCUUACCAAUUGCAGCGGAAUAUGGUCAAGUAUAACCUUAGGAGCCAACUUCGCACUGUCAACCUUGCGAUAGCUGCUACUGCUAAUGACUAUUACUAUAAUAUGUUAAGGGACCAAGUAGUAGCUCUAUGGCAUCUUGGAAGUUCACCUGAAAAUCCUAUGAUAAUACCACCAUCAUCAUCAGAGUCUAAUAUGAGUGAGAGUAGUAAUGAUAAUAAUGAUAGUACUGAUGAUGGGAGUAGCUCGAUGGGGGAUUAUCUUGAGGCUAUUCUAGUUGUUAGCUCCCCAGAACCUUAUGAGGAAGAGGAAGUUUAAAAUGCUAUGCUGAGUGAUUAUGUUCUAUGGUGUAGAAUAAAUAACCAUGGGUGUGUUUAUUAGCUUUUGUAUAAAGGUGU